CAAACUGGAAUUAGAUACUCCACUAUGCCCAAUCGUAAACUCUUACUUACCUCAACACCGCCAGGGAACUACGAGCAAAGCUUAAAACCCAAAGGACUUGACGGUACCCCAAACCCACCUAGAGGAGCCUGUCCUAUGAUUGAUACCCCCCGUUCUACCUCACCACUUUUAGCUUCUCAGCCUGUAUACUUCCGUCGUCAGCUUACCACGUGAGCGAAACACAGUCAGCCCAAUGGACUCUCCAAAACGUCAGGUCAAAGUGCAGCAAAUAAAGCGGAAAGAGAUUGGCUACACUUUUUAACCCUAAAAGAAACGAAAAGCUAUAUGAAACCUCAGCUCGAAGGCGGAUUUAGUAGUAAGAAGAAAACAGAGUGUUCUACUUAACUCGGCACUGGGGUGUGUACACACCGCCCGUCACCCUCCUCAAAUUUUUAUUUAAGUCAAUAACAUCAAACACCAAAACAGAGAAGGUAAGUCGUAACAUGGUAAGUGUACCUGAAGGUGCACUUGGAAACGACUCGUAGCUUAACCAAAGCCU
rnacentral:rRNA from 1 species